UACGUAGGGGGCAAGCGUUGUCCGGAUUUAUUGGGCGUAAAGAGCGUGUAGGCGGCCAUACAGGUCCGUUGUGAAAACUGGAGGCUUAACCUCCAGACGUCGAUGGAAACCGUAUGGCUAGAGUCCGGAAGAGGAGAGUGGAAUUCCUGGUGUAGCGGUGAAAUGCGCAGAUAUCAGGAAGAACACCCGUGGCGAAGGCGGCUCACUGGCCCGGUACUGACGCUGAGGUGCGAAAGCGUGGGGAGCAAACAGG
rnacentral:rRNA from 1 species